rnacentral:tRNA from 1 species
GUUGGAAUAGCUCAGUUGGUUAGAGCGUGUGGUUGUUAACCACAAGGUCAGAGGUUGAAGCCCUCUUUUUAGCG